GACGAACGCUGACAGAAUGCUUAAUACAUGCAAGUCAACCUGUGGCUUACGGGUGAGUAACGCGUAAAGAACUUGCCUCGUAGCUAGGGACAACAUUUGCUAACGAAUGCUAAUACCUGACACUGUGAGAGAGCUUUGCGUUCCAUUGGCUAGUUGGAGAGGUUACGGCUCACAAAGGCGAGGUUGGGUAGCCGGCCUGAGAGGGUGAUCGGCCACAAGGGGACUGGGACACGGCCCGUACGCAUACGGGGGGCAGGAGUGAGGAAUAGUUGACGAUAGGCCAAAGUGUGAUGCAGCAAUUCUGAGUGUACGACAAAGUUUUCGGAAUGUAAAGCGCUUUCAGUUGGGAAGCGGUACCAACAGAAGAAGUGACGGCUAAAUACGUGCCAGCAGCCGCGGUAAUUC
rnacentral:rRNA from 1 species